UACAGAGGUCCCAAGCGUUGUUCGGAUUCACUGGGCGUAAAGGGUGCGUAGGCGGCGGGGUAAGUCAGGUGUGAAAUCUCGGGGCUCAACCCCGAAACUGCACUUGAUACUGCCUCGCUUGAGUACUGGAGAGGAGACUGGAAUUUACGGUGUAGCAGUGAAAUGCGUAGAUAUCGUAAGGAAGACCAGUGGCGAAGGCGAGUCUCUGGACAGUUACUGACGCUGAGGCACGAAGGCCAGGGGAGCAAACGGG
rnacentral:rRNA from 1 species